AAUUAGAAAAAAAAUCCCUAAGAAUCUGUUGUCUUCUUCUUCAACAGAAAUCGGUUGUCUUCUUCACCCCCAUCCUAGUCUCGCUGCCAUCCAUCAUAUCGGCCGCCACCCAUCUCGUCGUCGGGUCGAUGUGGGUCGUCGGCACCCACCGCCGCCUGUCUUCUAUCACGCCUCCAAUCCUGUGUCUUCCAUCGCGCCGCCAACCGUUGGUCUUCAUUCUCGCCACGCACCCGCUAUGGGCCGGCCAACUCCACCGCCGACGGCUGAAAUCGUCGAAGCUCUGCCGUCCUUUGCCCCCAAGCUCGAAAAUACAGAACUGAAUUGUCCCUGCAAAUCAUAGCUCGCCUCCUUGAAGGCGAGCCUUCCGCCCCUCACCCUCGCCCCAAGCUCGAAAAUACAGAACUGAAUUGUCCCUGCAAAUCAUAGCUCGCCUCCUUGAACGCGAGCCUUCCACCCCUCACCCUCUCGUACGCUUCUGACAUCCCUUGAUUUUGUUACACCUCUUCACCUGAAGAUCAUCGCGAUUCUUGUCAAGGUUUUGCUUCUCUCUUUACAAAGAUAAUUGUACAUUAUUAUCUUUUGCUUCUCUCUAUAUAUGCGCUUAUAAGCCAAGCUAAUCACAAUAAAAUUCACGAUUUUCAUCAAAAUCAUUUUUUACCACGAUUUUUAAAAUUGAAAUUAAAGGAUGACUGUUUGAGGUGUGAUGAUUUUACUGGGUGCGUGGCUGAAGAAUGAAAAAAAAAAAAAAAAAUUAUGGGAAAAAUGAAAUUCGGGCAAAGUUCGUGAUAUUUGGUGUAAUAAAAAAAUGCAACUUUUUCAAUCACCGGAGUGAAACGUGUGUGGCGUGUGCCGGCGAGCCACAUCAACGCCACGUCUACUCCGAUCUGGGGGAAAAAUAAUCAUGGAAAAAAUGAACGACUAAUUCAAUCUUUGAUAAAAAAUGAUUUUUUUUUUAAUUAUGGGAAAAAUAAAAUUCGGGCAAAGUUUGUGAUAUUUGGUGCAAUUAACCCAAACUGUAAAUCUACAUAAUUAAUUUGGCUUUAGAAGUUCGAACAGCGCAGCAUAAAAUGAGCUCUGAGACGAAGAAGCAGCCAAUCAAUGGAUCCGGGUCGGGUGGUUUUAGGGCUAAGUUAAAUUAUUAUCUUCAUAGUGGUGAGAAGAAGCAUGUUGCCGCUGGUAUCGCUAUAAUUGGAGUUAUCUUGGGUUUACCCUGGUACCUCACGGCCCGAGUUCGUCUUGUUUUUUAAAUAAUCUAUAACUUCUGUUGUUGUUGCUUUUUCAUUCUGAAGUUUUAUUGGGUUGAUUAUGCGAUGGUAAGUGAUUGGAGAUCGUCGGCUGUAAACAAUUUUUAAUUUACAAAUUUGUGAUGGCUUCAGUGAUUAUUGUUUAGAAGAAAUAGCAUCUGCGUGAUUGUACAACAAAUGCUGUUUAAAGUUUGGAUUUUGGCGUCUUUCUUUUUCUUAACCCUCAUAAAUGAAUUCUGGAAAGUCCAAUCAAUUUGGAAGGUGCUUCUUUAGAAGUUUUGCUUUCAGUCUUUAGUUUCUUAAAUUGAUUAAAUGUACAAUUUAAUUGCCCUUUUUUUUUAUGUAAUUUGGGUUUUAUUUAAUUCAUUUGGGAAUGUGAGAGUUUGUGCUGUCUGCUACCAGCCUUUCUGUUGUCAAAACUCAAAAGGUGAAAUUUCAUGAUGUUGGUAGUCACUUUUUGGAUGGAAUUUAUCGUUUUAAUAUUGAGCAUUUUGGACUAUGAGAAUUUGAUUGUAGAAGCUGCAUAGUCGUAGGGUGGUUUAGUAGUAGUCUAUGGGGCUGGCAGUGAGUGAAAUUAUGGUCAUAAGGAUUUGGAUUUGAGGAACAUAUAAUCUGAUUGUUAUUUGUAUGCAAUGUAUAUGAUAUACAAUAGGGCUUUCUUUCAUCUCUGGUUCUGCCAUCUUAUGAAUUCAUGGUUGCACAUUUGAUGCACUUUCAAUAGUGAAUAUCUGAAGUCUUGCGACAGGAUCAUUGUUACUUUGAGAAGGGAAACUUUUAAUCGAACAUUCUACUGCCAAUUCUGGCACUAGUUUUUGUGAUCUGAUAUCCUGGGGAACUUUAUUAUCAUACAACACCUGGAUCAAAGUGAUAUUGUUCUUGCUGUUCAUAGAUGUAUUACUUAGAUUUCCUUGUUGGCUGUGCUAUCAGUAAUUGCCUUAGACUAGUUGCUAUUUUCUUAGAAGCCUUCUGAUUUAGUAAUCAGCUGGUUAAGCAAGCUACAUAAAAGGGACAGAGGAAGCGAAUAUUAUCUACACUAUAUUCCUUUUUGCUUCUAUAAGGCAGUAUGGUGUCUCUGGUAAUAUCUAACGUUUACUAAAUUUUAGGAUAGUAAUAUUGCAAAAUCUUGUUGAUCAAAUAUAUGAAGCCGAGUGGACCUCCUUAAACUGUGCACUUAAAUCUUCAGGACAUUCUUGCUUUUAGGUGCGUUAACCCUGUGUUCUUUAUGCAUCAGCUGAAGUUGAUAUAAAGCGUCGUUAAUAAUGAACAAAAUGAAAUACAAGGGAAAUAGUAGUGAGAUAUUUCCAAUGCCAUAUUCCCAUGAGUUUUUAAACUUCCCCUCAAAUGUUUGUUUUCUCUAUGAAUCUUUGUUUUUUGAAGGGAUAAACCAUCGAUCUCAUCAAGAUUAUUUGGAAAGAGCCGAUAAAGCUAGAAGUGAAAAACUUUCUACUGGUACGUCAACAAUUAGAUGAAGAGAAGGAGGUUCUCUUCACCGGCUUAUCUUCUUCUCCAAUCAAUUUUGGGUACCCCGCUUUCUCCUAUUUUUAUGAAGCAAUGUUCUUGAGUAAGGUCUUGAAGUCCUCAUUAUUGGGUGGGUGGAAGUGAUGUGUCCUGUUCUACUCUAUUGGAUGAUUAGCUUCCAAUGGAAAUUGCAAAUUGGUUUUCACUUUAAUAUACGCAUAUAAUUUAGUUAUUAAAUCACUCCCUCACUUUUACUUAUUUGACUAAUAUCUACUAAUCAUCUUGCUAAAGCCUCUACUCAGGACCAGGAUAGAGAAAAUUGUCUGUUGUACAAUACAUGAGAUGAGAUUCUCUUUUUUCUAAUGUCUUUUAACAUCGUGUUAUAUUUUAUUUUUUCAAUUUAAUCACCAAGUCCUACAUAUGUAGCGACAAUUGGUUGCAAAUUUGCAAUGUUACUGAAUUGAAACAAGGUUUUAACAUAGUAUUCAGCUAUUACUGUUAGUUUGAGUUUUAGCCCAUCAUUGUACUAGUUCUAAAUGCAGUUGGGAGAAAUAAUUAUUUUCUUACCAGGUCUACUUAUUUGUAUUUUCUAGCUUCCAUUUCUGAGGGAAGUAGUGUUUUUUAGCUUAGACACUUCUCCUACCGAUGAUGUAAUCCAAAAAAUUAUUGAUUGAAUUAGAAUUCGAAUUAUUACCUUCGUAUCUUAUUGAAAAAAAUAGAUUUAACAUAUUAAUUAAAAAAGUGGUGAAGUUGGUUCAUUCAAAAACUGUUGGCGGAUUUGGCUUUCAAAACUCGAUCUUUCGUAAACUGGUGGUGGGUUUUAUU
rnacentral:lncRNA from 1 species